rnacentral:lncRNA from 1 species
UGUCCUAAGAGCCUGGGACCCAGAACAUCAGAGAACAAAAAUUUAUUUUGUGAAGAAAACUCAAAAUGAAUAUAGACUCUAUAUUCCUCAGUUGAUGAAUGAUAAGAGAUGCUGGACCUUUGCUGAGCUUGCUCAGGGUCUGUGCAGAGUAUUUUCUAUUUUCUGAUGGAAAGGAGGUGACCACCUCAGUGCCAGACAUAAAGACUCACCUUUUCUGGGUCGAAUGGUCUCUCUCCUCUCACCACCACUUAGUCCUGGCAGCUCCUCCUGAGCUCUGAUCAGAGAAUCAACAAUUAUCACCAAAUUUGUCAACAAAUUUUAAUGAAAAUGAGGGUGGCUGUGGUGGCUUUUGUAGUGACAUUGAUAUAUGAUGUGUUCUUUGAAAUAUGCUG